rnacentral:rRNA from 1 species
GAGCCAGACUCCUACGGGAGGCAGCAGUGGGGAAUAUUGGGCAAUGGGCGCAAGCCUGACCCAGCAACGCCGCGUGAAGGAAGAAGGCUUUCGGGUUGUAAACUUCUUUUCUCAGGGACGAAGAAAGUGACGGUACCUGAGGAAUAAGCCACGGCUAACUACGUGCCAGCAGCCGCGGUAAUACGUAGGGGGCAAGCGUUAUCCGGAUUUACUGGGUGUAAAGGGAGCGUAGACGGUUGUGCAAGUCUGAAGUGAAAGCCCGCGGCUCAACUGCGGAACGGCUUUGGAAACUGUGUAACUGGAGUGCUGGAGAGGUAAGCGGAAUUCCUGGUGUAGCGGUGAAAUGCGUAGAGAUCAGGAGGAACACCGGCGGCGAAGGCGGCUUACUGGACAGUAACUGACGUUGAGGCUCGAAAGCGUGGGGAGCAAACAGGAUUAGAUACCCCAGUACA